GACGAACGCUGGCGGCGUGCCUAAUACAUGCAAGUAGAACGCUGAAGGAGGAGCUUGCUUCUCUGGAUGAGUUGCGAACGGGUGAGUAACGCGUAGGUAACCUGCCUGGUAGCGGGGGAUAACUAUUGGAAACGAUAGCUGAUACCGCAUAAUAGUAGAUGUCGCAUGACAUUUGCUUAAAAGGUGCAAUUGCAUCACUACCAGAUGGACCUGCGUUGUAUUAGCUAGUUGGUGAGGUAACGGCUCACCAAGGCAACGAUACAUAGCCGACCUGAGAGGGUGAUCGGCCACACUGGGACUGAGACACGGCCCAGACUCCUACGGGAGGCAGCAGUAGGGAAUCUUCGGCAAUGGACGGAAGUCUGACCGAGCAACGCCGCGUGAGUGAAGAAGGUUUUCGGAUCGUAAAGCUCUGUUGUAAGAGAAGAACGAGUGUGAGAGUGGAAAGUUCACACUGUGACGGUAUCUUACCAGAAAGGGACGGCUAACUACGUG
rnacentral:rRNA from 1 species